rnacentral:rRNA from 1 species
GACGAAGGGGGCUAGCGUUGUUCGGAAUUACUGGGCGUAAAGCGCGUGUAGGCGGUUGGCCAAGUCGGGUGUGAAAGCCUUGAGCUCAACUCAAGAAAUGCACUCGAUACUGGGUGACUUGAGGACCGGAGAGGAUAGUGGAAUUCCCAGUGUAGUGGUGAAAUACGUAGAGAUUGGGAAGAACACCAGUGGCGAAGGCGGCUAUCUGGACGGUUUCUGACGCUAAGACGCGAAAGCGUGGGGAGCAAACAGG